AUGGGGGUCGAGUGGUCUCUUGAGGUCUUGAAGCUUCUACUCUACCUCAUGGUCGAGUGGUUUGACAUGAUCAGGUCCGCUUCUUCCAGUUAGCUCGUCAACAGCUCCAAAUCACCUGAAAUCAACACAAAUAUGCAGCAUGCAUGCAAUCCUAUCCUAAACAUGCAAAGUGAUGACAAAUGAUGAAAAAUGGUAUAAAACAGUGAUGAUAUGGUGCUAAAGUGAUGACAAAUGGAUGCUCAAAACAUGCAAAAUACACACUUAUCAAAUA
rnacentral:sRNA from 1 species